rnacentral:lncRNA from 1 species
AAUUUACAAUUGUGCAGUGAACGGAGGCACUUAUACAUAACCUUAUAUCGAGUACUAUUAAUUCAUUUUAGACGCUGUAUUUCUAAAGAAAAAUGUACUCUAUAGCUGACAAAGAAGUGUGAACAUUUUGCAUUUAUACUUCCACGGCCCACCGUGCUUGUGUAAAUGAAACAACUAAUUAAAUAGGAACCAAAUUUUGAUAGAAUCUUGAUCGUUUCCAGUGAGUUCUUGAAAAUGUUUGGUCGCCACGCUGAAAUAA